AACACAUCGUACCAGUGCCAGAAACGUAGAAGCGAGGAACGUAUAAACGGGGUUCUACCGUAUCCAGUAAGUAAAUAACGCGCCGGUUUUUGGAGGAAGACCAUCUCCAGCACCCAUCGGCCGGACCGUUUGCCGACAGAAUAACACCGGAGAUGACGGGACUAGCUACUAACUAACCAUUGCCGAAAUGAAAAGUGGUAGCUUCCGCCCAUUUUAUUGGGUCUAUAGCGCGGAUUAAGGAUGGAAACUCUACCACCGGAUUGGAAAUCGCUACCUCAUUUUAGACUGGAACAAGAUUAAGAAAAGACCGAUCGAUCGUUUAUUAAGACUGCUAUACUAUUUACAGACACGAAUUUGAUAAAGAAAAACGAAAAUGAUUUCAUAAUUAAAGGUGGCUAAGAAUCCGUUCCCGUCACUUCUGCCAGAGUCUUAAAAACUAUAAUGGUAGAAUAACACCUAAUUAAAGAGUUUUAUUAAUUGCGCGAUAGAUUUAUAAUUAUUUUUUUAUUUAAACGAGACGAACACCAGUUACUAUAACGGAAGAAAAUGUAUUCUCGAUGGAAAGGAAGCCAAAAAAAGGCUUCUCUCUAUUUCGCUUUCCGCCCAUGGUCAGAGUUGAUCGAAAUUCAGUUUUCAUCGACUCUUACCGCCUAACGCACAUUUUUUUCUAUCAGUUUUUAGAAAUUUCGUUAAUUAAAAUAAAUUAUGUUUUUUAUAUUUACCAGUACCGUGGCCGAGAAAAAUCGAUGAAAAGAAUACGGCUUAAAAUUUCUACACCACCUCGGAUUGUACGGGUGGCCGUUCAAAGUGUCAUAGGCCGGGGUGGCCCGGACCGUAGUAUCUCCGCCCAGUUAAAAACGGACCGGGCUAAACACGGUACGGAUUGAAUUUGAUGGGCUGGUUUCGGAAAAGUUUCCACGGUAGGUAUAGCCAGUUUCCCAUCUGUAUCUCUUCGUCUGUGGUCUACGGUUAAGAAAAUGUCGAGUAGGUGGGUACGGGUCCCAGGAAUAUCGAUUUUAAAAACCGACCGUGGCCUAUAGCGCAAAAGUCAAAUUCCCGCCAUUUACGGAACCACUAGCCGGCUAAAACUUUUCCUGGCCAUCCACCCGCUACCGUACAAGUAUCUUUUUAGCGUGCCAAAAGCAAUGUUAUAAUUGGAUGGCCCACUAUAAAAUGCCGCUGGGGCUGGGGCGAAAGCGUUAUCGCGGCUUAGUUAUUUUGACGAAAAUAACUUUGUUUCGUAAAUUUUUUUAACUUUUAUGAUAAUAUAAUAAAAGAAUAUUGAAACGUUUUUCUUUAUAUGUAUUACCUAGAUUGCCAAUAUUCUAUCGUUUACCAUCCCGGGCUCCGCCAAAUGAUUUUACUCUGGUAAGGAUUCUUUAAAUUGACAAAGUUCGAAGACCGCUGGCCUACACCAAUCGAUUUUAAUAUUUAUGGCGUCCCAGUUAAAGGACGGUUGACCGGGACGUGGACACGGGCGCGUCUACCUCUGCCGACGGGAGAACACUUUCGAAGUUGAUACCCGAGACGGAAGAAAUUUACAACCACACUUAAUUCCAGAGAAUUUUGCUCCGACUUCCGGGCGGAGCAAAUUUCUCUGGAAUGUUUUCAGGCCGAUACAGAUUUUAAAAUAUGGCUAUUUCUCCACCUUCCAGUCUUUGGCCCGGAGAUAUGUAUUCCUUCGAUCUACGAGUGGGAAAAAUUACGCCUACCCCCAUGGGUUGAUAAAGGUAAUAGUGUCCGAAUUGGACGAAUUUUUGACGUUAGUCCUAUUUCGAUCAACCGCGGUAUCUACCAGUUUUCGAGACUACCCGGGAAGCCCGAUACCGCUGGGAAUGAGAAAGAGUGGAGGUGCCUCGAAAUUCUAUCGUUUUUUUUAAAUUUUAGUCGAACGAUGCGGCGCCGGGGAUGGGACGGGCCAUCCGGAAAGGCGGUGGCAUUAUACUACUAGCCACUGGAUGGAAUCCGGGUCUUAUCCCUGGGAAAAUAUUUGGUGGUUGGAAACCGGGCCGUGAUCGGGUGAUAGUGGACGGUCCGGGUCAGCGGUCUAGGUCGAGCCCGCUCCCUAGUGGACAGAUGGAGGAGUACGGUGGUUGGUGGUGGAAAAAGAGAUGGGCCGAUCCGGCUGCCCUAAACAUUGGCCGACUCGGAGACGUAGAGCCGGUGGUAAAGAUAUAUUAAUAAUAAUAACCACUCCGAUAUAACCACCGACGGAAUACCAGCCUACAAAGGCUAGUAUUCCACCGGUGGUAGAGGAGCGGCGUACAAUAUUUAUAUAAUAACAAACCGGGAAACUUCCAUAAGAGAAGAAGAAAGCGCUCGAGAAAAAAUUUUGGUGUUGGAGUUUUAAGAAGGUGGGAAUAAUUUACUAAAGUUUUACCGGAUUCCGCAAAUGGGCGGUACCUUUAAAGUAGAGGCGAUAAUUGGACGGAAGUAAGAGCUAAAACCGGAUGUCGAUGACCGAUUAAAAGAAGGGAAGACAACUUUCUUCCAAUGGUAACGUUUUUCUUCUAACGGUCGACGGCCAGCUUAAAAACCUGGGACAGUUUCGUUUCUAGUAAAGAAACGUCACCGUUAACCAGUCGGGCCCAGUAUUUGGAAAGCCAGACGUAAGUAGGGAGCUUACUACCUUUAUAAAUACAUAUAUGUUGGAUAAUUUUUGUGGCUAGAUAGCCAAAGAAAGCGAAAAAUGGAUAGACCAUACCAUUGGUGAUUUUGUCCAGGAAAAAUCUAAGGAUAAUUUCAUUUAAUAAACUUUUUCCAUGUAGGCUCUGGUAUUUAAUAUUUAUUGCCGAGAACCGUAUAAAAUCUACAUCCGGUAUUGUUUAGAGUUCUGGCACACUUAGCCACGGCCGAAAGAACAUUUAAAAAUAUAUUUUUUAACUGCACCGAGCCGGAUAGGUCGGCUGGGUUUGGUUUUUCCCCUCUAAUGGUUGAGAAUUUUAAGAAAAUCCAAACGAUGGAUACAAGCUGACCGUCCGUUACCUAGAUGUAGGUACGGGCUGCCGUAGAUUAUCGGUGGGUAGACAUUAGUCUGGAAGGAGCGACCGUCAGUGGCCAUUUCUGGCUAAGAAUUUCCGGGAAAAAGAUUUAGUUCGGUUGGGUCUCCAGUAUAUAUAGCCUGAAAAAGCCGGUCGGCUACGGAAGUAAAGGCCGAGAUUCGGGGUUGGUGGAUUUUUACCAAAUCCACCAACCCCGAUGGACGGGGUUGGUGGAUUUGGUAAAGAAAAUUUUGUCUAAUCGGUCUUAUCAGAUUUAUUUUGAAGUCGGUUAGUCGGCUCUUUUAUUCUCAACCGACAUUCUUACUUGUUAGAGUGAAAAGUAUCGACGGUCGAGCCGUCCAUACUUUCACUCUGAGAAUAAUAAGCGACGGGGCCCAGCCGGCCCUUCUACCGGCCGCCCCAUCCGCCGCGGGGGUGGCCGGCUGGCCAAGGAGAGAGAUGGACGGGCCGGGUCCGGACUCGGUAAUAAACACUUUCCGGGGCUGGGAGUCUUUUUCGCCGGAGUGGAAAAGAGCCCGUGCGUUUCCGGGCGGCCCAUACCUCCGUGGGCUAGUGUAGGUUAAGUUAGGUGAGGUGGGUGAGGCCCGGUAUCCGAUCGGGGAUUUUCCGUAUCUGAUGGCUCGGUUUUUAUAGUCCGCACCGGUGACGGGUGAACCGGCGGACCCUCAUCCCUCCCCGACAUCCCCGGGGUGGACCGGCUUCGAACGGGCACCUCCGAAAUACUCAGCCGAGGUUGUGCCGGCCGAUCGGUGUCGGAUAGGAAUUAUAGAAGUUUUGGAUGGAAAAUAUAUUUUGUGUGAGAUCUUUGCCAAAGUUUGGAUAAGCCGUUAGAAAAAAUCGAAGGUCCGGAAGAUCCUCUCUUUCCUUUUUUAAGAGUGGGAAUGGAAUUCUAAUUUUUCCGAGGGGUUGGGGAAUGUGGCUUUGAUUUGAUAUUCGAAGGUGCCACCCUACGGCUGGGAUCAUCUCCUUUUACCAGAGAAGGAUAUGUCUUUUGUAAAAAAUAUAAACCAUAUCUGGUGGAAAACCAGCCGAGUACCGAAAUUAGGAUACUGAUUAAAAUUUACGAGCCAUCAUUUAACAAAAAUAAAAACCUCUAAAUUUGAACCGGUACCGCGUUUCGAUUCACCUUUUUACCUAUUGAGGUUAUAUCGGUGGACGUUCGUCCACCGAUAUAACCUGGAAUGUCGAUACUACGUAUGAACACGGAGAGCAAUCGACCAACCACGGUAGCCCAACAAAUUAUAAUAAUAGACUACUUAUGGUUAAUAAAUAAUAAAUUUAUCCGUGGCCGUCAUUGGUAACUAUACGGUACGGAGUAUUGGCCUAAUUUAUUGGGUUUUCCCGGCCGUUGACUAUGUUCUUCCAGUAAUACGGCCAUUAGGAACAUAUUGGGCUAUUAAGUGAGAGUAAUCCGGGCUAAGACAGUUUUUGAAUAUGGGAGCCGAGCGGAAGGGAAUUUCCCACGGAAAUAAAAUGGUCCAAGCAAAAAUUCACUUUUUCCCUUGGAAAAGAAUGGAUAAAUCGGCGUCCGGAGAAGAUAGAGCUGGCCAAAUUCCUCAUGGACCUAGGCGGUGGGCGGCCCACCCGACAGACAACCGGUUAAAUUCCUCAGAUUUACCACCGGAAAAAAUAUAGCCGUUACCAGUGGUGGAAAGUGUAGGGCCCAGAGGUAAAAGACCGCGACGAAAGAUUAAUUCCCCGGGGACCAUCCAUCGAUUACUCCACCCGUGGUGCCAAGUUGUAUAAGAACCACGCGGCUAUAAGCGUGAUGUUCUUAGCUUCGGAACGGCCAUCCAGCCACCAGUCUCGUUUCUAGUCGUUAGUUGCGCUAGGAUCCACACCUUUAAACUAAUUUAACACGUAUUUUCUGGCUGGUCCAUCUACCUGGUUGGUUCGGACUUUACCGCUAUUUCCAAUUCUUUUUCACCCCGUCGUUCGUUAUUUUUUCUCGCCUAUAGCUGGACCCUUCACGCAGAUUUCCGGACCCUUCUAGUUUAUAAAAAAUUUUUCCCAUCUUAGGUAAAAAUAAACAUAUAGAGUAGAAAAUAGGAAAUAUUUUACUCGCUUAUUCUUUAAUUUCUAAAUAAAUCUCGGAACAACUGGAUAUACGGUAUAAAAGUUAGAUAAAGGCACCACCUAUCCAGUUUACGGGCGGAAAGGUCGAAUUAGCCAAGUUUUAUUAAUAAUUUUUGACCACGGUAAAUCCAGGAUUACUCGUAUGCGAGAUUGAUGGAAACUUGAUCUACCGCCAUUCGCUAGUGGUCUCUCACGGCCGGAAUGGUUACCGCUUGACGUAAUAGGCGUUCUAGGUUAGAGAAUUUACCCUCGAUAUUAACUACUUUUGGCCCGGUUCCAUCCAGUCUGAAUCUGCUGGUUACUCCACAGCCCGUAAAAAUUUUCUUCUCAAAUAAAAGCUAGGGCUCCAAUGAUAUCUGGCUCAAUUGGAAAUAGCCUAUAGAUAGACCGUAUAUCUUAACCAAUGGAAAGCUCCAAAGUUGGGCUCUAUCGGGCAGAAUUAAAGUCGUCGUUCUUCUCCGCCCUUCUCUCUAUCCGUCGUAUUCUGGUCCUGAUGGGAUACCGAGACCAAUCUGAACGAAAAUCGGUAAUAACCGAGAUGACUGGACCGGAUUAACUAAAUUGCCACCAAAUGGUCGUGCGCGUUACUAAGAGCGGAAAAUAAAGCCCAUCCUGCCGUCGGCCGGACGGCUGGGAGUUAAAGAUUUAGCGGGCCACUCGGAAAUCCAGUCCCAUUUCCCGGAAAACCCCGAGAACCCGAGCUUAGCCUGUUUGGCCCCGACUGGAUGACGGCCGUCCGGAGCCGGAAGGAGAUGGAGGAUGGAAUAAAGAGGAGAUGAAAAUCCCACAGUUCAUUCCGUACCAAUUUUACGCUAGACCGCCAGCCGAUCAGAUACCGAACCGAAGGAGAUUUCCCACUUGUGACGGAACCAAAGCGUUUCCCGGCCACUCUUCCAGCCCUUUCUAGUUCCGCCCAAAUCCGUCGGACCAAAAUGCCACCGAAAAGCCAACAUAGCGUCAAAUUAUAGUGGUGAGGUGACGGCGCCCGACCCGAUUUGGUUGGGUUCGGAACAUUAACUAGAUAAAACCAAAUUGGUGUGGAAGGACACUCGGCACCGACCGAGAAGUAGCGACUGCUUUUCCAACCGGGUUAGGCGUUUUUUAGCCGGAACCUAUUAGACCGGCCGGCCAAAGAGUGGAUCUAAUCUGUUCCUCGUGUUAUCCAUUCUCCUGAAGUGGGAUCCAGUUAGAGUAGAAUCUACCCGGUACUCCACAGAUCAUAAAAAUUUUCUCCCAAAUAAAUCUCGGAUAUCGGGUUUAAGAAUUAGAUAAAUGCACCACCUAUCCAAUAUACGGGCCUGGAAUUAGCGAAUUUUUAUUAAUAAUUUUUUCCGUAGUUAGUCCAGGAUUACUGCAUGCCAGAUUAAUCGAAACUCGAUCUCCCGAUGGCCAUCUACUCCCCGUUAAAGAUGCCAACGGAUUUCAGCCGGAAGUGCGACAGUGAAACUCUCGGCGGAAUUACUUCCGGAGAUAUUUAACUUUGAAAAAAUAUAAGGAUAAAAGUCACCGGACUUUUUACCACUCGAACGGUAGACGGGAUCUCCCCUUAUCCAACGUAGAAAAUAAAUUUGCCUUCUUCCCUAAUCGAAAAUAAGUGGAUAAGUAACUUUCGAGCCGGCACCGGUUCGACUACCAGCUUUAAAGGAGAAUCGGAUCCUUCCGCUUCCGGUUGACCCGGAAGUGACAUCAAAAUGACCUUUAGCGACGAAUCAUUACUACCCAAUUUCAUCACCGGAAGUCUAGCUCGUUCAAAAUUAUUAAUGGAGAACACUGACGAAUAAUAUGGUGAUAAGCCUGACUUUUAGAAACCACCCACGGAUGCGGGCCGGCCAACCAUCGGCGAUCGAAGUGACGGCCCCGGAUACGGUGUAUCCGGGUCGCCAGACGGCGGCUUAGCUGACCCAAACCCGGACGGGUGGCGUGGGUGAAAAGAACUUACAGUCUAUUUUCCUCACACUGGGGCUCUUCCGGGAAGCUAAAAAUUCUGGGUUAAAACGGCUAGUCCAUCUCCCAUCUCAUUCACUGGCGAAUUUACCAUAGUCCAUUCUGGGUGCCUGGGCUUCAGUCCGUCGAACGGUAGGCCGUUUUCUACCCUAUUUGGUACCGAUCGAGGUAGUCUUUCCCGGCCACCGGUAGCAAUUAUCCAAAGUUUGAAGGGCUUCCUAUAUAUCUAGACCGCGCUGCUGGAUGGCUGAGUUGUUAUCCCACCGUGGGGAACGGUAUUUUUCUUCGACUUAUUAUCGUUACCGGUUAUAGACGACACAUUUUUAACUGGACGGAUGUUAACGAAAUUGGUAUUUAUGGAUAAAAAUAAAGAUACUUAGAUGAAGAAUUUACCGGUAAAGUUCGUUUAAAUACAGUAUUAAGAAUAUUGACAGUGGCCUACGUAUAUAAAGCGCCAGAUAAUUUGUCAUUUGCCGAAUUUCUUAUUCUGCCGGAUUUAAAUGGUUGACAGAUAUAUUUGCUGAAAAGUUUCCGGGGCACCAUUAUUCUGACCUAUAAAGAACGGAAAUAUUCGGUAAUUAUUCCAAAGGAUUUUGAGUUUUUAAAAAUUGGUUUUCUUAUUGGUUACCGGGAUAUUUUAACCUCCGCCAUCCAGUUUUCAUAUUACUUCUUAUCAAUUCGAUAACUCUAUCCAGGUAACUAAUAAAAUUGCAUUCGAAGCCACCAAAAAUAUAUUUUUUGUCGAUUUGAUAAUUAUACCAUAUAUAAAUCGUAUCAAAAAUUACCAUAGUUACGCCUGUUUGGUCCUAUAAAGUGGAACCCAUAAUUUUUUCUGGUAGUGCCAGUUUACUUUUCAAAACCACCGGCCCAUAGUUGGAAAUAUAAGCUAAUUAAGAGUGGAACCGGCGCCAUUUUAUAUUUUUGAAGUUCUCUCGGUCUACCUUUAACGUAUUCCCUGACCGAGGAUUUUGUAUACCAUUCUAGUAGUGGUGGUGGUGGUUUAGACGAACAUUAUCUAAGUUAGCUACUCGGUGAUUGUACACCAGCCAGCUUUUUACCGUUGGAACUGGAUGGAAAUCUCAUUUUUCUUUUAUAUAUUUGUGCCAGCUAAAUGUUAGGCGGAGAACCAGCUAGUUUCCCGGAAGAUCCAAAUCCGUCCUCCAAAUAGUCGAAAAAUUAAGUCGGACCGAGUUAAUUCUAAUCUAACUUAUGUCGUCCGCCUGAAUGCGAAAUACGACUAUAGUUUAGUUAUUAAACACCGCUAGGAGAAGAAAGUUUUCCCCCAUUUGUCUAACUGGUCCAGAAAUACGCUCAAACAUUUUGUUUGACCGAAUUUACGGUUUGGAAAAACAUUUUUCCCAUUAAUACCCUUAAAUAUUCGAUUUUAGCCUAAGAAUUAAGACAUUCUUAAAUAACGGAGGAGGAGGAGAUAUAAUAAUUAGGGCAUUCCACGAUGAAAAAGCGGUCGAUUCGGCCCAUGUGUUUCUUCCCUACAACCUAUAAGACCUUAUAAAGUCGUAUCUGAUCAGCCAAAUUCCUUCACCAAUUUAUUCUAAAAGUUGCCAAUGGUGUGGAAAAUGUAGAUUUUCGGGUAAUUGGUCCGGUCGAUGAUCAUAAUUUCACGGGUAGGAAAGUUACGUCUCCGUGGGGUGAUCUCGCUAAACUAAGUAUAGCCUAUCCAGCUCCGGUCCAUCCUAAUAGGCCCUUAUUGUCGGCCAGAUUGGCCGCGUGGAAACGCUUCGGCUUUCCACUCCGGAAGACCCGGGUUCGAGUCUCGGGUCCCACCCCC
rnacentral:lncRNA from 1 species